UGUUCCCAGUUACUCGGCAUUUGUUCCUUUCUAAUUUGAAAUUCUGUAGGUUCUUGAACAUAGAAUUUGUUCAGUUUCCCGAACAUCUUAUUUUUUGUAAUCAGUUGUUUUAUUUGUAUUUGCGAUAUGUCUUUCUCAAAGAAAGCCCUUUUCCUGUUGUCUUCUAAGAAAAAAAAAAAUUCAGAUGGCGUAUCAUUCGAAUUCUUGGUGACGAGUAGAAGUGAUUCUUACAGGUAUGUCGUGCAAGUUAGAGUCCUGAAAUGUUGCUGUAUGGUGCUGCUUCUGUUGAUAUGCCCUUUUGGUGAAUGUCUAACACGGAUAAAAUUUCCUUGGAAGAGAUUUGGGGAUUCUUUAUGUUCUUUUUCGAUGGUGCUCGUCUAUUUCUCAGAUAUUACAAACCGCGUUUUUGUGCCCACAACGAUCAUUGGAAGAAAAGUUCAAUUAAAUGGGUACAUUCGCUUUACCAAUUCAAACAAAAGAGACCCGUACGUCACGUUAACAAACAGAUGAAGAAACCUCUUAAAUCAGCUGAUAAAGGAGCUUUGGAUCAGAAGGUUUAUGCGAGGCAUACUAUUAGAAACAUAUCGAACAUUUUAAGGUCUUCAUCAUGGGAUUCCGCUCAGGAACAACUAAAGGACCUCUCUGUAAGAUGGGAUUCUUAUACGGUCAAUCAAGUUCUCAAAACCCAUCCGCCCUUAGAAAAGGCCUGGUUGUUUUUCAAUUGGGCCUCUGGGCUAAAAGGUUUUAAGCACGACCAGUUUACAUACACAACAAUGCUGGAUAUUUUUGGAGAAGCUGGGAGGAUUUCAUCGAUGCGUUAUGUCUUUCAACAGAUGCAAGAGAAGGGGAUCAAGAUUGAUGCUGUGACUUGUACUUCACUUAUGCACUGGCUUUCAAAAGAUGGGGAUGUCGAUGGAGCAAUCAAGGUGUGGGAGGAUAUGAAGACUAGCCAUUGUCAUCCAACAGUUGUUUCUUUUACUGCUUAUAUGAAGGUUUUAUUUGAUCACAACAGAGUGAAGGAUGCUGCUGAUGUCUACAAAGAGAUGCUGCAAUCUGGUUGUUCUCCGAAUUGCUACACAUACACAGUGUUAAUGGAGCAUCUUGCUGGUUCUGGAAAAUACGGAGAAGUUAUAGAGAUUUUCAACAAAAUGCAGGAAGCUGGGGUUCAACCUGAUAAAGCUACAUGCAAUAUUCUGGUUCAGAAAUUUUGCAAGACAAGCGAAACAUGGCCAAUUACUCAUAUUCUUCGGUAUAUGAAAGAAAACUCCCUUGUCCUCCGUUAUCCUGUUUAUAUGGAAGCUCUUGAAACUUUGAAAAUGGCAGAGGAGAGUGAUGCUCUCCUACGACAAGUUAAUCCGCAUUUUCAAAUCCAAUGUGACAACAAGGAAAAGACAGAAGACUGCAAUGCAAUUACAACUAAUAUUAACUCCACUAUAGAUGAAGGACUUGUAUUAUAUUUGUUGAGAAGGCAAAAUUUUGUUGCCAUUGACUGCUUGCUUGCCGGCAUGAUGGAUAAGAAUACUCAGUUGGACCAUAGGAUCAUCUCAUCCAUCAUUGAAUUGAACAGUGAUCAUUCCCGGCCCAACGGUGCUUUAUUGGCAUUUGAAUACAGUGUGAAAAUGGGUCUAAGGAUUGGGAGACCUGCAUAUCUUGCCUUACUGGGUGUCUUCAUCAGAACAAAUUCAUUUCCAAAGGUUGUGGACGUUGUUGAGGAAAUGAAUAGGGCUGGAAUUUCUCUAGGAACAUAUUUGGGAUCACUGUUAAUUUAUAGGCUUGGUUGUGCCAGAAAGCCUGCUUCUUGUGCAAAGAUAUUUGAUCUAUUGCUUGAUGACCAGAAGAAUACAGCCACUUACACUGCUUUAAUCGUUGCAUACUUUUCCUCAGGGAAGGCUAAUAAAGGACUUGAAGUGUUCACGGUUAUGAGGAGCAAAGGGAUUGAUGUUGCACUGGGUACAUACAAUGUGCUAUUAGCAGGUCUUGAGAAAAGUGGCAGAGUUCAGGAAUUAGAACAAUUCAGGAAGGAGAAGAAGAAGAAUGUGCAUGCUGAUGGCAAUGGUCCAGGCAUGGUUCCUUUGGAGGAAAUGAUUUGUAAUCGCCUGUUUGCUGGGGAUGCUGUGUCUUGAUUUAUGAGAUUAUCAUCCUCUGUAUUCUUAGUCAAAUAGGUAUGUAGCAGCAAUAUUGGGAUUCUUCCAUGCAUAAGCUCUGGAGGGUGAUAUUGCAGUUCUGGGUAUUUAUCAUCUAUACCUAUAGGAAGAAGAGAUAGGAAGGACUGGAAGGUUAUCACAGUUGCAGAUUUCGAUCAUGUAGCCAUCUGGAUCAUGGAAGAACACCUGAUCCACCUGGAUCCCUUCCUCCUCCACCACGGCUGUGGUGUAUCUCAUUCCCAUGGCUUCCAACCUUCUCUUGACAAGUCCAACAUCUGUGCACUGUUACAAGACAAAAAGAAAAAGAAAAUAAGACAUCAAUUCUGAAGAAGAGGAAGAAGAAGAUCGUCUAUUUCUUACUUGAAAGGAGAUGUGAUUAUCCUUUGGAUUGAUAGGUCGUGGUUCGUUAAUGGCAUCAUACUCAUCAAUGGACUCAUUCUCAAGUAAGUGGAUCCCAAUUCCAUAGUUGAACAACCUGGAAAAGUAUCAGAUAAUUAUUUACAUGUAGUUUGAUAUGUGAAAUGUGCACUUUGUUAGAAGUCAGGAUUCUCGGGAUAUAGGAACGGUGGUGUGCGAUACGUUGUCAACUGUGAUAUGAUAGGGGGUAGGGUUCUAGGGAUUACAAUGUUAGAAUGUAGUUCUUUGGGCCGAUAAAUGUACAAUGAGACACAAAAUCAGUUUCCAAAAUAAUUGAUGAAAAAACAUUAAGAACCCUUUAUGAUCAUUUUAAAUUUUUAA